AAAAAAAACGCGAGUCAUGAAAAAAAUUCAAGCAGCAUUUUUUUUAGACUUAGACUCUCAAGAUCUAAAUUUCUAAAUAGUCUAGAUGUCUAAAUCUUAUUAGAUCUGAAUGUUUCUUUUCCAGAUUUCGUCAGAUGUCUAGAUGUAGUCAGUGAAUGGAUUAUUUUCAUUUAUUUAGAAUCCAAAUCUACUUGAUUGUCUUGAUCUAGAAAUAGAAUCAGAUCAGUUACGGUACUUGACUCGAUUUCUUUGUGCGUGUGUGUCGUCAGUGGAUAGACUAGACGUAUACAACUAGAUCUAGAUCUACUCUAGCUAUACUAGUGCCUUGUAUGUAGAUCUAAAUAUGAUUUUAUCAUGUUUUAUGAUCAACAAUAAAUACUCAUAGCAACGGACAGUCAUGAGUCAAACAUUCACACUGACAAGUCGACGAGUGAUGUCACGUUGACAGUUGACAAUCAAAUCAUGAAUCACUCCACAUUAUUCUGAGGAGACUGUGACCCCUUGACCCCUGUGACUGAGAAACAUGCUUUAGAAUUCUGAGGCCAAGGACAAGGAAAGAGAUAACAGGGGUGAAUCAGAUGGCACUGUAGUGUCAACUGUUAUGAGAACCUAUUGUCAAGUAUUGUCAAUGAAGACCACUUGCCACCCAGUGUCCCAAAUGGUAUUGGAGAACCUAAUACUAGGGCUAGGCUAAUUCCAAUUUAAUCUUACAAGAUCAUGGCAACUUAUGAGUGGAUUAAAGGAUAGUUUACUAAAUACACUGAGCCUAGAUCUGAUCAAGAUUUUUCUCUUUGGCCUAAAGAAUGAGACCUUUAAUUCUUAAUAUGCUUGAGGUGUGAUUUGACAUGGAAGGAUUAUUUGUACACACGUGAAGCUUCAAGAUACAGCAUAGCUCUGUGAUAACCUAAGGAUAUCAUUAUCUCCAUAGUUGGACAGAUAGGACAUAUCCAAUGAUACCAUCCAGACAGCUCACGUUCAUGAUCAUCAUGUGGGAGAAUGUGAAGUAUUACACUUUCCUGAAUUUGAAUUGUUAUAAUGUAUGUUGAGUGGGUGACAAUAUGUUUGUGAGCUAUGUCGUGGCAGUUUCAGUCUCUUUCACUGGGCAUUUAGAAAUGUACAAGUUGGUGUCUAGGGGGUUAAAGUAGGUGUGGCCAUCGGCUCAAGUGUCAUUUCUUGGUAUAAAAUAGGGACAGUGUUUAAGGUAGAAAUCAGCUUCAUAUUUAAUCCAAACAUAUUAAGGGGAUACGACUGGAGAAAUGUUUCUCAUUUUUUUGUAAACAUUUUAAAUUAAUCAUAUUUAAUCCGAUCAUAUUAAGGGGAUACAACUGGAGAAAAGUUUCUCUUUUUUUUUGUAAACAUUUUAAAUUAAACAUUUAAUACUUUAAUAGACACAUACAAAAAAAAAUGCAGUUAUUGGCCUUCAAACUUUGUUGGUUGUCAUCUUACUUACAGGCCCAAACACACACAUUUAUAUUAUUUUUAAUACAAAUACUGUACUAAAAAAAAACAAAAUUCAAAAUU